CUACGGGAGGCAGCAGUGGGGAAUAUUGCGCAAUGGGGGAAACCCUGAUCUAGCCAUGCCGCGUGAGCGAAGAAGGCCUUAGGGUUGUAAAGCUCUUUCAGCUGGGAAGAUAAUGACGGUACCAGCAGAAGAAGCCCCGGCUAACUCCGUGCCAGCAGCCGCGGUAAUACGGAGGGGGCUAGCGUUGUUCGGAAUUACUGGGCGUAAAGCGCACGUAGGCGGAUCAGAAAGUUGGGGGUGAAAUCCCGGGGCUCAACCCCGGAACUGCCUCCAAAACUAUUGGUCUAGAGUUCGAGAGAGGUGAGUGGAAUUCCGAGUGUAGAGGUGAAAUUCGUAGAUAUUCGGAGGAACACCAGUGGCGAAGGCGGCUCACUGGCUCGAUACUGACGCUGAGGUGCGAAAGCGUGGGGAGCAAACAGGAUUAGAUACCCCUGUAGUCC
rnacentral:rRNA from 1 species